CUAACCUAAAGGUUUGCAGUUUGUACACAGCCAGUGGUACCCUGGAAUAAAAGCCUGUGAACCUACUUUUAUAAAGACUACAGGCAAGAAAACGCUAUGGAGCAGCUCUACUGUGUAACACAUAGGGUUGCCAUGGUUGGAAUCCACUGGACUGUGAGAAGUUUUAUUUUAAGUCGAUAUUAGAGCUUCUAAGUACUGUGUUUCUACUGAUAUAAUGAUACUUUCUGUGAUAUUUUUGGCUCUUGAUGUACAUUGGAUAGUUUCACAAACUGUGGUCCAUGUAAUUUGUUUUCAAUUCACUGAUUGCUUUGCAUAGGCCCCUCCACACCCAGGCUGGCUGCUCAGAUAUUAUAAACAGGGCCUCUGCAAUGUGAGCUGAUCUGCAUCAGGCAGACAGGGGCAGCAAGAUGGUGCCACAGCCUCUGGUCCUCCUGUCCCUGUUGCUCUGGGCCUCUGGUGCCAGUGGGGACGUCAUAAUGACCCAGUCUCCAGCUUCCCUGGCUGCGUCUCCAGGAGGAACAGUGACCAUCAACUGCAAGUCAAGCCAGAGUCUUUUUGGCAGCAGCUACAAAAAGGACUACUUAGCCUGGUACCAGCAGAAACCAGGACAGGCUCCUAAGGUGCUCAUCUACUGGGCAUCCAGCCGGGCAUCUGGGGUCCCUGACCGGUUUAGUGGCAGUGGGUCUGGGACAGACUUCACUCUCACCAUCAGCAACUUCCAGGCUGAAGAUGCCGCAGUUUAUUACUGUCAGCAAGGUUAUAAUGAUCCAAUCACAGUGCUUCAGCCUCGAACAAAAACCUCCUCCCGAGGGCUACAGGCCAGUGAGUCUUCACUGCACCAGCUGCUUCCUUUCUGCUCAGCCCUGAACGUGCAAGCUUCCUCUGCCUGCCCCAAAACCUGUAUCUCCUGACUAAUUCCUUGGAGUAUUUGCAGGUUCCAGGAGAAAAUUAAAGGAUGUGGCUUCUUCUGGAUCUCCUUUUGUGAUAAAUUAAAGAAAAAAAAAUGCUCUAAAAUCUUUUGUAGGCUUUGUCAGGAGUAUUUAUAUCACAGGAACCUCCAUGUUUCACAUGGAUAGAUCACAUGACUGAUUUGGGGAAGGGUUCACUGUGAUUUAUACCCUGAAAGAUCAGUUCUCUCUUCCCUGUGCCUUCUUGACUCUGGAACAUUCCCAUUUUAUUUCCUCAUUUUCCUGGACUUUUUUUCUUUCUGUGCCAUUACCCCUCAUAACUCUGGACCUAACCCAAUAUUAAACCUGGACCCUUCAUAUUUAAAAUCUCCCUCACAGAAAGUAGUAUUUCUCUCUUCCGUUUUCCUUCCAUGGAUCCUGUUUUCCAGCCCAGUCUCCCUGGCCAACAUCAAUGAAGGCAUUUUCAUGCUCUAAGCUCCCAUUUUACUGCCUUUUCUCCUCUCUCCAUGUCUUUCAGGGGCACUCAUUCUUUUCAAGG